rnacentral:lncRNA from 1 species
GGAGUGCAACUCCCAUUCAUAAGAGUCCAUCGGCCCUUGUGAGGGUCCGACGCACCGUCGAAGGAGUGUCAACUCCUGUCAUUGUAGAUGCAUCGAUCCUUGUAGGGGUCCGAUGCGUUAUCGAUGAUGAGGUCGUCAGUUUUAGGUGGAAGCCGGGCCCACAUCGAUACGUCGGGACCUGUCCUUGAUGAGCACAGAUCACU